AUGUCUGUAUUUUAAAGGAAAAAAAAUCGGAUUUCGAAUCAGAAAAAGAGGGUUCGACUCCCUUCAGGCUAUA
rnacentral:tRNA from 1 species